CGGGGCGUGGCGCAGCUCGGUAGCGCACCUGCUUUGGGAGCAGGAGGUCGCCGGUUCAAAUCCGGCCGCCCCGA
rnacentral:tRNA from 1 species